rnacentral:tRNA from 1 species
GGCUUUAUAGUUGAUUUACAAUGUUGAAUUGCAAGUUCAAAGGUGAGAUAUUUCUCUGAAGCUU